AUUUUGCAAAAACUUGGAUCUAAUACAUAUUUACUUAACUUACCUAAGGAUAUGAAUAUUAGUCUGUUUUCAAUGUGGAUGAUUUGUCACCUUAUCGAGGCACCUUUGAGCCUUCUUUGCAUUCUAGUGUUUUUGAGGUUAGCUUGUGCCAAAGUCACCAUCAUUUCCUCAGUCUAAUGAUGUCAUUGACACUGUGUUUGAUGAUGAGUUCGUUCCUUCCUUACAAGGUGGAUUUUGUAGAUUUUUUGUCAAGUGGCAAAGUCAUCCUGAUUCUAAUGCUACUUAGAUCACACAAGAAGAAUUUCAGACUUUGGAUCCUUCUCUCGAAUGCUUAUUUGCAAA
rnacentral:misc_RNA from 1 species